GCGGCUCUCCAUCGUCAUGACCGUAAAACGUGUUUGGAUGGAUGUGUGGAUUUAUUUACAUGACAUACAAAGAAUUGAAAUCAAAUGGAGUCUGCAAACAAAUUAUGUUUCAAAAUUGGGAUUUCCUCAGAACCACUGAACCUGACUGUUGGGUGUAUAAAGGCAGACAAUAGAAAAUGGACCAUUUUCACAGACUGUGAUGACACAUUUCCACAGCUAUUAUUCGGAAAUGGGAACGCAAAAAACUAUGAAGGCUUCCGCUUUUGAGAACCCUACAUGGUAUAAAAAAAGGAAAAUGUAUUGAUUUCUUGUAAAGUGUAGAAACGUGAAAAGGGUCCAUCAUACAGUUGGACUGAUGCACAUGCUGAAUGAGGAGAUGGGCUGCAAGGCAGAGAGGCUGAGGAUCAAAGAGAAGGGCAUAUGAACAGCCUCUAUCACUAACCCCAAUAAAUUAAAACAAACUUGCCUGAACUAUUCAAAC